rfam:Beta vulgaris subsp. vulgaris chromosome 9, whole genome shotgun sequence.
AAGCAGUGAGGAAAUUUGCGUCUUUAGUGGCAGUUGGGUCCGCCACACUGCAUCUGACCCCAGAUAAGACAAGUGCGCAUCUGAGCAU